UAAGCUUAACAAUUUCUUUCCAAAACCCUAACAAAAAAGAAAGUGUUGAAGAUCGUCUUUAACCCUGUUCGCUUACAUCUUCCGAUCAAAAAAAAGAAAUUCAAAGAAAGUCUGUUCACUGUGUUUUACUAUGUAAAUUGCAAUGGCAAUUGAGAGCUAACCCAUUUUGUAUCCAUUUUGUAAUGAUUUUAUUUUUCAUUUUCCAACAUUGAGAGAUUAUGAGUAACCAACAUUAGAUUAAGGUAAUGAUUUUGACCUACUUGAGAGCUUACGAUUUUAUUUUCCAUUUUUCAACAUUGAGAGUGUACGAUUUUGUUACUCUUUAAUCUCUUAGGGUAGUUUGUUGUUUUAGAUCUAACCCACUUACUAUUUUGGGAUGUUCUUCUUCAAUUUGGAAAUUUUAAAGUUAUUAUAUUCUUCUCGAUUUCGAUCUCAAUUUCCAUUUGGAGAUUUUAAGGAUAGUGUGUUCUUCUCAAUUUUGACCUUAUUUUCGAUCUUGAUUUCAAGUUAAGGUUAAUUUUCUUUUCUCCCACAUUGAGAAGUGGGAAAAAAAAUUAUUUAUGUUAAUUGAUUUGUAUGUAUAUCUAUGUGAUGCUCUCUCUAUAUAAUUAAUCUGUGUAUAUAUAUAUAUAUAUAUAUCUAUGUGAUGCUCUAAGAUAUUUCUAUGACAAGGACAAAUACACCCAACAUUUUCACGUCACAUUCGGAAGUUUGAGACUUCACAAGUUGUAUAGCGAUAUGGCAUGGCAAUGUUUCCUAAGAGGCAGCGAUAUGUCAUGGCAAGAUCAUUUGUUGAAUUUAAUUGAUAAUGAUGAAGCUUUUUGGUGAUAUUACUUCUGCAUAAAUUGAAAUCACAAUUAACAGGCAAUUGGAUGAGUAGUUGUUAUCUUACCCAAUCUAUCUUGUAUUUUGUUCAAUGGCUUUUUUCCCAUUGCAAUGUAAUGAGCCCUGAAUCUGAUCAUAUCUACUCUGUGGUACUUUCAUUUCUCAUUGCAAAAUCUAUUUACCAUAGUUAAGUUAUAUUUAUUAGUUUAGUGCGAGUAAUUCUUUUGGGAACAUAUCCUUGACAAGCUUUGUGUUUGGUCAUUCUUUUGUUGGUUUCUUUGGUGAAGUUAUACUCUUUGUAUUUCUCGCUAUAAUACCAUUUUUUAAAUAAGUACCGGCUGAGAGGAACAUGGGAUUGAUGCAGGUACAAAGGUUAGCAUCUACUAAGUGUGUAUCCAAGGGAAAUGUCUUGUAUUGGAUACUUGGACUUUCUUUAGAGUUGGUAAAUAGAUGAAUUCCUGGAUAUCACGCUAUGACUCAAAGCUAUACUAUACCUGCCUCCAGAAAUUGCCUGUCUCACUAAUUUGGAGUGCCUGGAUCUUUCAUUCAAUAAGAUGAGGAAUUUACCUAUUGAGAUAACCCAUCUUAACUUCAUGCUGUCACUGAAGGUUGCUAAUAAUAAAUUAUUGAAGUACCUCGGGGUUUGUCUUCUCUGCAAAGAUUAGUGAAUUUGGACUUUUCUAACAAUAGGUUAACAUCUUGGAGAAUCUUGAUCUCCUUUCAAUGUAUAAUCUGUAGAGACUAAAUCUUCAGGACAAAUAAAUUCUUAGGUGUUGUUCCAUUUCUUCGAGGGUAUGCUGCAAUUUGGAGGGGAAUUUCAUAGAUUUGUCCAAGGAUGACUUCACCAGUUCAUCUUCAGAAAUGGACGUGCUUGAAGGUUAUGAUUAGGAGGAAACCUCUGAGAAUUCCCAAAAUGGAGCUUCUAUCAUAUUGUCCGGACAUUUAUGUGGUUCAUCAUCCAAUCAUAGAUGUUUUUGGCCUCAAAAAUCGAGAAGAGAUGGAAACGGCAGUAUUAUUUGUAGCAGAGGGCUCGUCAAGAGAGAUUAAAUAACAGCAGGAUAUGUUUUGCCUGCAAACAUUCUGAGCUAAUUAAUGAUUCUCUGGUGGAAGGCUCAUCAAGCAUAGUGGAUGACGAUACAGAUGAUAAAUAACUAUUUUACUAAAGAAAAUGAGUGCAGACUCAUUGGCCAGUGUUGCUGAUGAACGUAUCAGAUUAAAGGAGGACCAGUAUGUAGAAAGAUCUUCAUGUGUUGCUUCUGACUCCAUUGAAACAGGCAUAGAUAUUUAGAAUUGUAAAAAAUGUGAUGCUUCAGUAGGUUCUCAUUCUGAUGCUGCUGAUUUGGUCGAGGGAAGCUCGUCUUCUGAGGUGUCCAAUAAUCCUCCAAAAUCGAAAAGGCACCUCGAUGGGGUCAUUGAUAUUCAAAAACCAUGCAAAACCCGCAGACCAAUAGAUCAUUCAACGGAAUCCUGCAAAUACAGCAUGAUUUCUUUCUGUGUAUUGAUGAAGAUGUCUUUUAUGACUCCGGACGAGAUCGGCCAUUUAUGUCGCUUACGAGUUAUGAGCAGAAAUUGCAGAUGGAUUCACGGGAAGUCAUUUUAAUUGACAGGCAAAGAGAUGAAAUGUUGGAUGCCAUUGCCCGACGUGCUCAAGCUCUGAUCUUUCAUUUUAAUCAGACCAUGGUCUGUCUAAAGAUAGAGAACAUGUUUCUAUGUAAGAACUUAACUAAUCAUUUGGGUACUUAAUUAACAUUUUACUUUUGGAUUUAGAUUACUAGUUUGUUAAUUCCAUAUUUUGGAUUAUGUGAUUAUUAAGGAAUGAUUUUUGUUUUGUUA